rnacentral:lncRNA from 1 species
CUCCCUCCCUCCUUCCAGCCUCUUCAAAGUUCUAGUCAGAGGUGGAAGGCUGCCAGUCUGUGUGUGUGAGUAUGAGAGAUAUGGAGCGAGCGAACGAGGGAGUAAGGCAGUGAGGACGAGUGUCUACAGAGAGAGAGGAAGAGUAACACAGGGACAGCAAGAGAGAGAGAGAGAGAGAGAGAGAGAGAGCGCAUUCACUGGGAGGGUAAAAGAAAGAGAGAGCACAGGGAACAGAAUAAUAAUCGAGAGUUGAUUAGUGAAGGAGUAGAAGAGAUCGAAAGAGUGAGGAAGUGAAGAAGCGAAAGAGACAGCGGAGAAAGAAGGAAAGAAAGUAAAAAGGAAGGAAAGAAAGAAAGAGAGAAAGAAGGAGAGAGACUCAGGGCGUUUGGAGAGGUCCAGAGAGGAGCGGGGUAGGUCGCGGUGAAGAGGGACAUCAGUCCCCCCAGCAUGGCUCUGUCUCUGGAGGGCGGCCCCAGCCUGGGGGCCUACUACUGCCUCAUCCGCAGGAGGUUCAAGCGGAGGCGCAAGAAGCGCUCCGAACGCAAAGGUAUCCACACCAAAACAAUGACUGAAGGUAUGUAGGGAACUUCUACUUCUGCACUUUUCUGGCAAAGUUGUUGACGCAUAGGAGAUCUCUCCCAGCGCAAGCUUGUUGUGUUGUUGUUGUUGUUGUUGUUGUUGUUGUGUUUGUGUAGUGGAUGCCCUCCCAUCUCCCUUUAGUGCAUGAGACAUUCAGUUGUUUGUUUUAUUUCUAUGGAAAUUAAAGCUCCCCGUCUGAUUGUUGGAUUGAAGACUUUUUGGAUUGAAUUGAAACACUGAGACAGUGUUACAAUUCAAGCAGUAGCCGACACACACACACACACACACACACACACACACACACACACACACACACACACACACACACACACACACACACACACACACACACACACACACACACACAACUAUCAGGGGCAAAGAGAGGCUACCUCCAGGAAGAAGAGGGACUCCAUCCAACACACACACACACACACACACACAC